GCGGCAGGUGGUGGUGCGCUUCGACCACGACUGCGCCCGCUGCGGCCGGCGGAUCGCGGCGGGCAGCCGGGCCGUGCGAAUCGGCCAGCCGCCC
rnacentral:tRNA from 1 species